rnacentral:lncRNA from 1 species
AAUACACUUGAGAAGCUUCUGCCUAAAACACGGAAGAUGGGAGUUUUAUAUCCAUCAUGUCCUGUCCUUGCCUGGUUAAAUGUGGGUGAGGUUGUACACGUGUGCCAGCUCAGCUGAACAGGCUGGGCAGAAGCUCAGAAGCCCUAAGAAAGCAAGCAAGAUCAAGGUGAGGAUCUCUGAGGCUAUCGCUUAUCCCCACGUGCCACAGAAAUAGUCAGAGAACAAAGGCUUCAUAUGUUUAUCCUAAAAAUCUCAAGUGCAUCUGAAGGGAAUGCCUGGAGCUGAAGCAAGAUCAUCAACUCAGUGAAUCAGAUCAUCACAG